GAUGAACGCUAGCGGGAGGCCUAAUACAUGCAAGUCGAACGGUAACAGGUAGCAAUACGCUGACGAGUGGCGCACGGGUGAGUAACACGUACACAACCUGCCUAUGACUGGGGCAUAACUUCGGGAAACUGAAGCUAAUUCCCCAUAACACUGCAGAAAGGCAUCUUUCAGCAGUUAAAGCCCCGGCGGUCAUAGAUGGGUGUGCGUUUGAUUAGCUAGUUGGUAAGGUAACGGCUUACCAAGGCUACGAUCAAUAACUGGUCUGAGAGGAUGAUCAGUCACACGGGCACUGAGACACGGGCCCGAUCCUACGGGGAGCAGCAGUAGGGAAUAUGGACAAUGGAGGCAACUCUGAUCCAGCCAUCCCGCGUGAAGGAUUAAGGCCCUAUGGGUUGUAAACUUCUUUCUCUGGGAAUAAAACCGGGAUUUAUCCUGGCUUGAAGGUACCAGAGGAAUAG
rnacentral:rRNA from 1 species